GAGAGAGACAUGCCGUAACGGAGACUGCUAAUCUUCGUCUCCUCGGUUGGACUCCGAGGCUCACUCG
rnacentral:tRNA from 1 species